UACAGAGGGUGCGAGCGUUAAUCGGAAUUACUGGGCGUAAAGCGUGCGUAGACGGUUAUUUAAGUCCGUUGUGAAAGUCAAAGGCUCAACCUUUGAAUGCCGAUGGAUACUGUCGAGCUAGAGUCCGGAAGAGGCGAGUGGAAUUCCUGGUGUAGCGGUGGAAUGCGCAGAUAUCAGGAGGAACACCAAUAGCGAAGGCAGCUCGCUGGGACGGUACUGACGCUAAGGCGCGAAAGCGUGGGGAGCGAACAGG
rnacentral:rRNA from 1 species